rnacentral:rRNA from 1 species
GAUGAACGCUGGCGGCGUGCCUAAUACAUGCCAGUAGAACGCUGAAGGAAGGAGCUUGCUCUUUCCGGAUGAGUUGCGAACGGGUGAGUAACGCGUAGGUAACCUGCCUGGUAGCGGGGGAUAACUAUUGGAAACGAUAGCUAAUACCGCAUAACAGUAGAUGUUGCAUGAUAUCUACUUAAAAGGUGCAAUUGCACCACGACCAGAUGGACCUGCGUUGUAUUAGCUAGUUGGUGAGGUAACGGCUCACCAAGGCGACGAUACAUAGCCGACCUGAGAGGGUGAUCGGCCACACUGGGACUGAGACACGGCCCAGACUCCUACGGGAGGCAGCAGUAGGGAAUCUUCGGCAAUGGACGGAAGUCUGACCGAGCAACGCCGCGUGAGUGAAGAAGGUUUUCGAAUCGUAAAGCUCUGUUGUAAGAGAAGAACGAGUGUGAGAGUGGAAAGUUCACACUGUGACGGUAUCUUACCAGAAAGGGACGGCUAGCUACGUG